rnacentral:misc_RNA from 1 species
AAAAAUGGCUCGUGACAUCUUGUCAGUUCCUGUUUCAACAGUAACGGCUGAUUCUAUAUUUAGCACAGUUAGCAAAGAGAUGGAUCACUACAGGUGUUCCUUGCGUCCUGAGACCGUGGAGGCCCUCAUCUGUGCCAAGGACUGGCUUCAGAAUGCAUCUUUAGACACUUCACCUAUACCAAUAAAAAUGGAAGUUCCGAUUUAGGUCUUGGUUAUGUGAAAUACUUGUCUAGAAUAUAGCUCUAUUAGCCAUAUUGAUGUUUUCUUUAAGACUAUUAACAUUCGUCGAGUCGUCUGAGAAUCAACUUUCUUGUAUCAUAAUUUGGUACCUCUAGUCUUACUGGAGAGUUUA